rnacentral:rRNA from 1 species
GACGAACGCUGGCGGCGUGCUUAACACAUGCAAGUCGAACGGUAAGGCCCUUCGGGGUACACGAGUGGCGAACGGGUGAGUAACACGUGGGUGAUCUGCCCUGCACUUCGGGAUAAGCCUGGGAAACUGGGUCUAAUACCGGAUAGGACCACUGCCUGCAUGGGUGGUGGUGGAAAGCUUGUGCGGUGUGGGAUGGGCCCGCGGCCUAUCAGCUUGUUGGUGGGGUGAUGGCCUACCAAGGCGACGACGGGUAGCCGGCCUGAGAGGGUGACCGGCCACACUGGGACUGAGAUACGGCCCAGACUCCUACGGGAGGCAGCAGUGGGGAAUAUUGCACAAUGGGCGCAAGCCUGAUGCAGCGACGCCGCGUGAGGGAUGACGGCCUUCGGGUUGUAAACCUCUUUCAGCACCGACGAAGCGCAAGUGACGGUAACUAAUGAAUAAGGACCUGCUAACUACGUGCCAGCCGCCGCAGUAA